rnacentral:rRNA from 1 species
GACGAACCGAGCGACCGUUGUUCGGAAUCACUGGGCUUAAAGGGCGCGUAGGCGGUCAGCACAAGUCAGUUGUGAAAUCUCCGGGCUUAACUCGGAAAGGUCAACUGAUACUGUGCGACUAGAGUGCAGAAGGGGCAACUGGAAUUCUCGGUGUAGCGGUGAAAUGCGUAGAUAUCGAGAGGAACACCUGCGGCGAAGGCGGGUUGCUGGGCUGACACUGACGCUGAGGCACGAAGGCCAGGGGAGCAAACGGG